UACGUAGGGUGCGAGCGUUAAUCGGAAUUACUGGGCGUAAAGCGUGCGCAGGCGGCGCGUUAAGACAGGUGUGAAAGCCCCCGAGCUUAACUUGGGAAUUGCGCUUGUGACUGGCGUGCUGGAGUGUGGCAGAGGGAGGUGGAAUUCCACGUGUAGCAGUGAAAUGCGUAGAGAUGUGGAGGAACACCGAUGGCGAAGGCAGCCCUCCUGGGCCAGCACUGACGCUCAUGCACGAAAGCGUGGGGAGCAAACAGG
rnacentral:rRNA from 1 species